rnacentral:rRNA from 1 species
GAUGAACGCUAGCGGCAGGCCUAACACAUGCAAGUCGAGGGAGAAGCCCUUCGGGGCAGAAACCGGCGCACGGGUGCGUAACGCGUAUGCAACCUACCUUUCACAGGGGGAUAGCCCGAAGAAAUUUGGAUUAAUACCCCAUAAUAUUAUUGGGUGGCAUCAUUUGAUAAUUAAAAUUACGAUGGUGAAAGAUGGGCAUGCGUCCUAUUAGCUAGUUGGAGUGGUAACGGCACCCCAAGGCUACGAUAGGUAGGGGUCCUGAGAGGGAGAUCCCCCACACUGGUACUGAGACAGGGACCAGACUCCUACGGGAGGCAGCAGUGAGGAAUAUUGGUCAAUGGUCGGAAGACUGAACCAGCCAUGCCGCGUGCAGGAAGAAUGCCUUAUGGGUUGUAAACUGCUUUUAUAUGGGAAGAAUAAGGAGUACGUGUA